CCUACGGGUGGCAGCAGUGAGGAAUAUUGGUCAAUGGGCGCGAGCCUGAACCAGCCAAGUCGCGUGAGGGAAGACGGCCCUACGGAUUGUAAACUUCUUUUGUCAGGGAGUAAAGAGAGGCACGCGUGUCUUGUUGAGAGUACCUUAAGAAUAAGGAUCGGCUAACUCCGUGCCAGCAGCCGCGGUAAUACGGAGGAUGCGAGCGUUAUCCGGAUUUAUUGGGUUUAAAGGGUGCGUAGGCGGGUGGGUAAGUCAGUGGUGAAAGUUGGAGGCUGAAACGUGGAAUUGCCAUUGAUACUGGCAGUAGAGAGAGCAGUUGAGGUAGGCGGAAUGCGUGGUGUAGCGGGGAAAUGCGUAGAGAGUAGAAGGAACACCGAUGGCGAAGGCAGCUUACUAGGCUAUAGCUGACGUUGAGGCUCGAAAGCGUGGGGAGCAAACAGGAUUAGAUACCCUUGUAGUC
rnacentral:rRNA from 1 species